ACUAAUGAAGCUAAAUAGGCCAUAGCGUUAGCCUUUUAAGCUAAAGAAUGGUGAUUCCGACCACCCUUAGUG
rnacentral:tRNA from 1 species